rnacentral:misc_RNA from 1 species
CAGCAGGUGGAGGAACAAAUUGUGGUACACCCGUCUUCUUUUGAUGACCCAAUUGAUUUCACAUCACCUUCUGUACUUUCUCCAGUUCCCCAAGUAUCUUCUGCCAUUGAGGCCAGAUCUGCCCAUCUAUACACUAUCAGGAGAAACUGGAGGCUUCUAUUUUUCAUGUUCACCCUGUUGAGAGAACCCACAGUCAGCUAAGUGAGGCCAGUCCUGGAUCUCUGUGGGCCUCAAUCUCCUCACCUGAAACCUGGUGCAGGCAGGACCACCCCUUCGCUCCGUUGUCAAGGUCCAGAUGUCCCUGGUGUCCAACAGGGCUUGACUACAGCAGGCACUUAAUAUGUGCUAACUCCGUGCAUCCCCCCUCCUUUUUCCUAAGUGGAUUAUGCAUCUGCUCCUCAGGACUGAUCUUCAACCUGUCAGCUACUCCCCAGCAUCAUCCAAACUGCUCUGAAAACCACCUUUCCAAAAUGCAGAGCCAGCAGUGUCACUGCCCCACUCAAAAUGCUCUCAACAGCUCCCCACUGCCU